CCUACGGGUGGCAGCAGUGGGGAAUAUUGGGCAAUGGGCGCAAGCCUGACCCAGCAACGCCGCGUGAAGGAAGAAGGCUUUCGGGUUGUAAACUUCUUUUCUCAGGGACGAAGAAAGUGACGGUACCUGAGGACUAAGCCACGGCUAAUUACGUGCCAGCAGCCGCGGUAAUACGUAGGUGGCAAGCGUUAUACGGAUUUACUGGGUGUAAAGGGCGUGUAGGCGGGACUGCAAGUCAGAUGUGAAAAGCACGGGCUCAACCUGUGGCCUGCAUUUGAAACUGUAGUUCUUGAGUACUGGAGAGGCAGGCGGAAUUCCUGGUGUAGCGGUGAAAUGCGUAGAUAUAAGGAGGAACACCAGUGGCGAAGGCGGUCUGCUGGACAGCAACGGACGCUGAGGCGCGAAAGCGUGGGGAGCAAACAGGAUUAGAUACCCGAGUAGUC
rnacentral:rRNA from 1 species